rnacentral:rRNA from 1 species
AUUGAACGCUGGCGGCAUGCCUUACACAUGCAAGUCGAACGGCAGCAUGAUCUAGCUUGCUAGAUUGAUGGCGAGUGGCGAACGGGUGAGUAAUACAUCGGAACGUGCCCUGUCGUGGGGGAUAACUAGUCGAAAGAUUAGCUAAUACCGCAUACGACCUGAGGGUGAAAGUGGGGGACCGCAAGGCCUCAUGCUAUAGGAGCGGCCGAUGUCUGAUUAGCUAGUUUGUGAGGUAAAGGCUCACCAAGGCGACGAUCAGUAGCUGGUCUGAGAGGACGAUCAGCCACACUGGGACUGAGACACGGCCCAGACUCCUACGGGAGGCAGCAGUGGGGAAUUUUGGACAAUGGGCGAAAGCCUGAUCCAGCAAUGCCGCGUGUGUGAAGAAGGCCUUCGGGUUGUAAAGCACUUUUGUCCGGAAAGAAAUGGCUCUGGUUAAUACCUGGGGUCGAUGACGGUACCGGAAGAAUAAGGACCGGCUAACUACGUG